rnacentral:rRNA from 1 species
CCUACGGGAGGCAGCAGUGAGGAAUAUUGGUCAAUGGGCGCAAGCCUGAACCAGCCAAGUCGCGUGAGGGAAGACGGCCCUACGGGUUGUAAACCUCUUUUGCCGGGGAGCAAGCCUCAGCACGUGUGCCCAGCCGGAGAUUACCCGGAGAAAAAGCAUCGGCUACCUCCGUGCCAGCAGCCGCGGUAAUACGGAGGUUGCGAGCGUUAUCCGGAUUUAUUGGUUUUAAGGGGUGCGCAGGCGGGCUGUUAAGCCGGCGGUAAAACUUCAGGGCUCACCCCUGUCGCGCCGUCG